rnacentral:rRNA from 1 species
AACUCUGGCAAUGGAGCACACGGCUUAUGCAUCGAUGAAGCCCGCGGCAAAAGCGAUAUGUAAUGAGAUUCGUUAGCCUCGCGAUUCAUCAAAUUGGUGA